GCGCCCUUAGCUCAGCUGGAUAGAGCAACGGCCUUCUAAGCCGUAUGUCACAGGUUCGAACCCUGUAGGGCGUACCA
rnacentral:tRNA from 1 species